UGGGGAAUAUUGCACAAUGGGCGCAAGCCUGAUGCAGCAACGCCGCGUGAACGAUGAAGGUCUUCGGAUCGUAAAGUUCUGUUGCAGGGGAAGAUAAUGACGGUACCCUGUGAGGAAGCCCCGGCUAACUACGUGCCAGCAGCCGCGGUAAUACGUAGGGGGCUAGCGUUAUCCGGAUUUACUGGGCGUAAAGGGUGCGUAGGUGGUCUUUCAAGUCGGUGGUUAAAGGCUACGGCUCAACCGUAGUUGGACUCCGAAACUGGAAGACUUGAGUGCAGGAGAGCAAAGUGGAAUUCCGAGUGUAGAGGUGAAAUGCGUAGAUAUUGGGAGGAACACCAGUGGAGAAGGCGGCUCACGAGAGCGCAACUGACGCUGAAGCUCGAAGGUGCGGGUAUCGAACAGG
rnacentral:rRNA from 1 species